UGAAUUGAUCGGUACAAAGUCGAAAGCAUAUUCAUAUAAUUUGAAAAAAAGGUUGACAAAAUGAAUUAUCUGCAACAAUUUUAAUUUUCCAUAAGAUGCAUCUAUAUGCAUUUGCUGCAUUUCAUUAUGAUAUCGAUUUCAACACAUGCUAUACCCCAACCAUCAAGGAUUUACUAAUAAAAUCUUCAAGCGCUUGAUGGAGAUGAUGCUGUAAUCACCAUAUGACUAUUAUCAUUAUAACCUACACCACAAAGUGGAUGUCUUUGUGCAUUUGCUUGUAACAUGGAGAAGGAAGCUUGAUGGGCCCAUAUUCACUUUUGAGAAUCUUCAUAGAAUCACUUUCGGAGUCGGUUUAUGCAUGUCAGUCCGAUUUAUGCAGGUCAUAUUUAUUAUCCGAUUGAUAUGAAAUUAUCCAAACAAUAUCUGUUUGGCCCACGGACGAACCAUAUUUAAAUUGGUUGACUUUGUACCAAGUGGCCAAUAUCAGUCCAAAUGUCCUGAAUGUCGGCAUAUCCGGCCGAAUUCCGAUUUUACGGUUAUUGUCCACCAUAUACUUAAUAUCAGCCCAAAUUGGAUAGAUUUUUUUUAUAUUCAACCGAAUGUUUAAUUUGACUUACAAUAUUGAAGGGUAUAUUUUGUAAUAUUUUUUUCAACUUACAAUACAGAUUGGGGUUAUUAUAUACAGAUGUCUGCUGUAUAUUUAAGGGUUGAA